AGCUGGGAAUAAUUACCUCAGAAGAGGAAGUGGUGACGUGAGAGGCUCUUAUCCCUCUCCCCAGACAAAUCUGGACUGUGUUCCGUGUAUGUCUGUUUUCCCCUCGCGUCUGAGUGCUUGAAACCGGAAAGCCUGUGUACCUUGCUCUCAUCUGCGUCUGUGGGAUCCAGCACAACACCCAGCAAAUGAUCACUCCCGUGACAUCCUAAAUGCUUCCACCUGCUCAUUGCAUGCUACCCUUGGAUAUCAUCACACUACCCGGAUGCCUCGUCUCCUUCGGCCCAGAUUCCCUCAGGCACUCCUUCCCAGCCUGAGCCACCAGAGCUUUCGCUUGACAUCGCUGAACUCUUGAUUAUCUCCUUCAAGCCUUGUCUGGCCAUGUUCUCCACGCCGACAAACAUCACCAUGAUCUACCGAGGUGCUCAACCCAGGAACCUGGAGUUUUCCUUUCCUCCUCCUCGUCCCUCCCUUUCCCACAUUCAGUCCAUCAUGAAAUUCUGCAAUUCUUGCUUCCAAAUUAUAUCUCAAAUGCAUCCACUUCGCUCUGCCUCCAUCGCCACCACCCAAGCCCGAGUUUUCCUCACCGCCCUGGUCCUCUUCCAAUACACUGCCAUCCAAAGCACUCAGGAGGAUCUUUUGGAACUGUGCAGCAGGAUCCAGUUUCUGUGUGUAUUGCACUCAUUGACCUGAACAUGUUCAACCAUCCUAGCACCCCUGAAAUUAAUUAUGGUGUGUGAUCUUUUUAAUGUGUUGCUAACUUUGGUUUGUAUUUUUUAAAGAA